CCUCCUGCGCUUCCCCACAAGCCCCUGCGGCCUCGCCCCGCCCCCUUUAGCCUGGGCUUGAGCGCGCGCAGAAGUCAGCUUCGUGACUUCCUUCUCAGGAUGGAACCAGCUUGGUGGCUUGAGGGAAAGGGGUUCUGAGUUGCAAAUCAGAAACUUGAAGAUGAAAUGGCUGCUACGCUGGGUAUUGCCUUUAUCUUGAAUGCCAGCCUGAUGGUCCAAGGUGAACAAGCCUUCCUGUGUUUUCUGAAUGUGCAGUUCCCCCGCACUUUGCCUGCCACCAUGUAAGAUGUGUCUUUGCGCCUCCUUUGCCUUCCACCAUGAUUGUGCGGCCUCCCCAGCCAUGUGGAACGGUGUCUGGGGUCUGUCAGGAUCAACAGGCCUUGAGAGAGACUGACCCAGAGGACUACUAAAAGGGACACCUGCCCAGGCCAGCCUAUUCUACCAUCCUCGUUCUCCUGCAAAACCAAGGCCACGUCAUUUCAGCAGAGGACCUGAGUGUGGAAGGACCCUGCAGCUGGCCCAUCACAGGAGAGGCCCAGACUCACCUCCCAAGGGGACCCUGGCACAUGAAGAUGCUGGUUCUCCUGGGAGUGCUGCCCUGGCCCACAGGAUAGAAGCGCAGGAUGGUCACCCACGUCUGCUCUUAUUGAAUGUGUCUUAGAAGCGGCUCCAUGUGUGAUUUCUUUCCCACAUUGGUUAGUAUGGUGUAUACCACGUUUGUGUUCCCAGGCUUUUGUUUAAGUUUGUGGGCAGCCCUGACAUCAGCAUCACACUCAAUGCCUGGGCUGAGCAUAUCCGUCAGACCUCCCAACUAGGCCCACUCAUCACAUAGUCCCAUGCUGCACUUCUAGUUCUGCCAGCCACACCCCAUGCUGGUCCUCAGCCUGGAACACCCUCCCCCACCCUCCCUGCUCAGCUGUCCAGCUCCUACUCAUCCUCCAGCCCCAGGGCAAAUUCACUCUUCCACAAAGCCUGACCUCUCUUCAGCCCACAGGAUCUCUCCUGCCUAGGAGCUUGGUUGUGCAUAUUUGUCCUGUGUGCCUUUGACACAGCACAGUCAUCUCUGACCAUCUGUUGCUGCCAACAUGGUAUCAGUUAACCCCUGCACUGCCAUUUAACUUUUCCUCUGAAGUCUCUCUGAAGUUCUUUGAGAAGGGGACCCUGCCUCAUGGGCCCUUUGUAUUGCCAACCAAUGUGUGUUAGAAUCUAAACAGUUAAAUAAUUAUCAACCUGUGCCUGAGACCUGCAAUGAAUCAAUAUGUAAAUGAAUCAGGGCACUGGUCAGUCUUCCAGCCCCACUUGUUAUUAAAGACUCAGUGAAGAUGGUUAGCAAAGCAGAGGACAGCAAAUGGGUCUCCGGCAGCUGUGAAGCACCAGAGUUUAUCCAAAGGGGGCACGUGGGGUCUAGAGACUCAUCUCAAAGUUGCAUUUUCAUAACAAAUACACUGGGUUUUUGUGUUUUUUUUUUUAGCUAUACUGUGUAUUUGUUGGGGCCUAAUGGAAAUUUAGGAGGACCUAAACCCCCAAGCCACCCUUGGCACCACCCCUACAAGGGGCAGCCACCACAGGGACUGGACAGUUCCAGCAGUUUCUGAAUCCACAGUGUCACAGAGAUCUCAGCUGUAUCCUGCUUUUUUAGGAUCCCAAAGGAACCAUCUGCCUACACUCUUUGCCAGCUGUGCUAAUGUUUGUUUUACACUGCCCAGUAAUGAUUAUAAAAUUACUAUUGCAUGUCCUCAAACUCCACUGGCUUUAAAGAGGGUCUAGAGGCACAAUGAGAACAAGGAGAAGUGGGCAAGACAGGCAGACAGCGAUAAGGAGGUUCAGAGAGACAGCGAGGGAGUGAGUAAGGGCGAGAUCAAGAGAGAGACAGGCCCGAGGCCAACCCGCAGCUGACCGCUGGCGUGAGGAACAUGGGCUGCCUCUCGCCCCAGGUAUGUUGGCACAGCUGGGCUGUUCUGGCCUCAAAGAUGAUGACAGGAAAACAGGACUGGCAGGAGCGGUUCCUGACCCAUGAUUUGAAAUCUACAAUCUGUCUAAAUUACCAUAAUUAUUGUGCUAAGGUAGUUGGGUUAUGGGAAAUUCCCCCUUUCUCAUUCAUUCCUUCAUUCACCUGACAAAUAGCACUUGAAUGCCACUGUGUGCCAGACACUGUGAUAAGCAAAGUGGAUAAAGGGUGAGCAGCUCAGCAGCUGGAGAGAAAGAAAGACAUAAAUAAAGAGCGUCUACAGCCAGAUCUGGGCAGGAGGACAUGAGGCUCAGACUGUUGAUUCUAAAGCCAAGCUGCCUGGGUUUGAAUCCCAGCUCUGCCACCCACCAGCUGUACAACCCUGGGCAAGUUCCCUGACCCCUCUGUGCCUCAAUUUCCCCCGUAGAUCUAAAAUAGAACAAGUAAGAGUACCUUAGAGGGCUAUGGUGAGGAUUGAAUAAGUUAAUCCUUGCAAAGGUUUUAGAACAGUGCCUAACAAAUAAGGCCAGAUGUUUGUUGUUAAAAAAAAAGAAUAGGGCCACGAAGGGCGUAAUUUAGAUAGGAUGAUUAGGAAAAGCCUGAAAAAUGAAUGUUAACAAUGUUCUGACGCUGGGCCCGGUGGCUCACGCCUGUAAUCCCAGCACUUUGGGAGGCCAAGGCAGGCAGAUCACGAGGUCAGGAGAUUGAGACCAUCCUGGCUAACAUGGUGAAACCCCAUCUACUAAAAAUACAGAAAACUAGCCGGGCGUGGUGGCAGGCGCCUGUAGUCCCAGCUACUCAGGAGACUGAGGCAGGAGAAUGGCGUGAACCCGGGAGGUGGAGCUUUCAGUGAGCUGAGAUCGCGCCACUGCACUCCGGCCUGGGCGACAGAGCAAGACUCCGUCUCAAAAAAAAAAAAAAAGUUCUGAAAAUGACAAUAGUGAGAAGGUGGCAGCUCCUCUAAUCUACAGUCUCUAUAAUGUAAUAUUUAUUUUAUAAUUCCAAAGAUAAUAUUUUCAUUUAAAAAACGUGCACCCUUGGUAUUUUCAAGUCUUGGGGAUGGCCCUUUGAUGAGUCGCACUGUCUAACUCACCUGGUUUGGUGCCAAAAGGAACCACCUGUUUUCUGGGGCUGUGGCCUGCAGCCUUAGGAACAGUGCUUUGCUCUGGGGGAAGCUAAAAGCUGCAAUGGGGCUAAGCUAAGAGCAGCAACUCCAUGGCUCAGCCUCCUGAGCCUUGUGCUCUAUUUGAUGAGAUAAUCCACAGCUGCCUUGUGCAAAGUCAAGAACCGGAGAAGAGAAACAGAGAUUGCUGACCUUCUCCAUGGGCCACCAGAGUCCAGCCUGCAUGUGCAGGCUCUCCUUCCAGCACACAGGUUGCUCCUGCAGGGCUCAGCCCCAGCAAUGCUGAGAGGGUGAAACUGGCCACCUACCUCUCCCUCUGAUUCCCACCCUGGAUGCCCUGUGUCCCAGGACCCCUGUAACAUUCUCCCACCCUAAGUAAUCAUCUCUGGACCUUGCCACCUGAUCAUGCCAUUAAAAUUCCCCUAAUGCCAU